UAUGUAGUACUCAUUAACCUCAGUAUAAGCCGGGAAUACGGCCCGGCGUUUCUACCAGGCACCGAAAAUGCCUGACUACGGGCGGGAAAAUGCAAGCA
rnacentral:ncRNA from 2 species